CACGUAGGGGGCAAGCGUUGUCCGGAUUUAUUGGGCGUAAAGAGCUCGUAGGCGGUUCGGUAAGUCGGGUGUGAAACCUCCAGGCUCAACCUGGAGAGGCCACCUGAUACUGCUGUGACUCGAGUCCGGUAGGGGAGCGUGGAAUUCCUGGUGCAGCGGUGAAAUGCGCAGAUAUCAGGAGGAACACCAGCGGCGAAGGCGGCGCUCUGGGCCGGAACUGACGCUGAGGAGCGAAAGCGUGGGUAGCAAACAGG
rnacentral:rRNA from 1 species